AUUGAACGCUGGCGGCAGGCCUAACACAUGCAAGUCGAGCGGAUGAGAGGAGCUUGCUCCUUGAUUCAGCGGCGGACGGGUGAGUAAUGCCUAGGAAUCUGCCUGGUAGUGGGGGAUAACGUUCCGAAAGGAACGCUAAUACCGCAUACGUCCUACGGGAGAAAGCAGAGGACCUUCGGGCCUUGCGCUAUCAGAUGAGCCUAGGUCGGAUUAGCUAGUUGGUGAGGUAAUGGCUCACCAAGGCGACGAUCCGUAACUGGUCUGAGAGGAUGAUCAGUCACACUGGAACUGAGACACGGUCCAGACUCCUACGGGAGGCAGCAGUGGGGAAUAUUGGACAAUGGGCGAAAGCCUGAUCCAGCCAUGCCGCGUGUGUGAAGAAGGUCUUCGGAUUGUAAAGCACUUUAAGUUGGGAGGAAGGGCAGUAAGUUAAUACCUUGCUGUUUUGACGUUACCAACAGAAUAAGCACCGGCUAACUUCGUGCCAGCAGCCGCCGUAA
rnacentral:rRNA from 1 species